rnacentral:rRNA from 1 species
UAGGGAAUCUUCGGCAAUGGGGGCAACCCUGACCGAGCAACGCCGCGUGAGUGAAGAAGGUUUUCGGAUCGUAAAGCUCUGUUGUAAGAGAAGAACGUGUGUGAGAGUGGAAAGUUCACACAGUGACGGUAACUUACCAGAAAGGGACGGCUAACUACGUACCAGCAGCCGCGGUAAUACGUAGGUCCCGAGCGUUGUCCGGAUUUAUUGGGCGUAAAGCGAGCGCAGGCGGUUUAAUAAGUCUGAAGUGAAAGGCAGUGGCUUAACCAUUGUUCGCUUUGGAAACUGUUAAACUCGAGUGCAGAAGGGGAGAGUGGAAUGCCAUGUGUAGCGGUGAAAUGCGUAGAUAUAUGGAGGAACACCGGUGGCGAAAGCGGCUCUCUGGUCUGUAACUGACGCUGAGGCUCGAAAGCGUGGGGAGCAAACAGG